GACGAACGCUGGCGGCGUGCUUAACACAUGCAAGUCGAACGGGCCCGCCCCUGUUUUUGGGGGUGGGUUGAGUGGCGAACGGGUGAGUAUCACGUGAGUAACCUGCCCCCUGCUCCUGGAUAACUGCUUGAAAGGGCGGCUAAUACGGGGUGUGCCGGCUGGUCCGCAUGGGCCUGGUCGGGAUAGUUUCAUCUUCGGGUGUUUCGGUGGGGGAUGGGCUCGCGGCCUAUCAGCUUGUUGGUGGGGUGAUGGCCCACCAAGGCGGUGACGGGUAGCCGGCCUGAGAGGGUGGGCGGCCACACUGGGACUGAGACACGGCCCAGACUCCUGCGGGAGGCAGCAGUGGGGGGUAUUGCACAAUGGGCGGAAGCCUGAUGCAGCGACGUCGCGUGAGGGAUGGAGGCCUUCGGGUUGUGAACCUCUUUCUCCGGUGGUGAAGGCCCUGUCCGUUGCGGCGGGGUUGACGGUAGCCAGGUAUGAAGCGCCGGCCAACUACGUG
rnacentral:rRNA from 1 species